rnacentral:rRNA from 1 species
UUGGGUUAAGUCCCGCAACGAGCGCAACCCUUGUCUUUAGUUACCAUCAUUCAGUUGGGGACUCUAGAGAGACUGCCGGUGAUAAACCGGAGGAAGGUGGGGAUGACGUCAAAUCAUCAUGCCCCUUAUGACCUGGGCUACACACGUACUACAAUGGCGCAUACAACGAGCUGCGAGAUGGUGACAUCAAGCGAAUCUCUUAAAAUGCGUCUCAGUUCAGAUUGGAGUCUGCAACUCGACUCCAUGAAGUCGGAAUCGCUAGUAAUCGCGGAUCAGCAUGCCGCGGUGAAUACGUUCUCGGGUUU